UGUGAGGAUGUAAAGAGGUGAGGAUAAAAAUGGUAAUAGGUAUUUUGAAAGUUAUGGAUGAAGAGAAGAUGAAGGUGUGUCAUAAAUGUGUAAUUGGGUGGUGUAGGAGUAGGGACCAUAGGGUGGACCACUUUGAAUUUCAGCACCAGGUGGAGUGAAUGUCAUCACUAGGGAAUCCAAUCUCUCCAUGUAGCCCUACCC
rnacentral:lncRNA from 1 species